rnacentral:rRNA from 1 species
CCUACGGGAGGCAGCAGUGGGGAAUUUUGGACAAUGGGCGAAAGCCUGAUCCAGCAAUGCCGCGUGAGUGAAGAAGGCCUUCGGGUUGUAAAGCUCUUUUGUCAGGGAAGAAACGGUGAGAGCUAAUAUCUUUUGCUAAUGACGGUACCUGAAGAAUAAGCACCGGCUAACUACGUGCCAGCAGCCGCGGUAAUACGUAGGGUGCAAGCGUUAAUCGGAAUUACUGGGCGUAAAGCGUGCGCAGGCGGUUUUGUAAGUCUGAUGUGAAAUCCCCGGGCUCAACCUGGGAAUUGCAUUGGAGACUGCAAGGCUAGAAUCUGGCAGAGGGGGGUAGAAUUCCACGUGUAGCAGUGAAAUGCGUAGAUAUGUGGAGGAACACCGAUGGCGAAGGCAGCCCCCUGGGUCAAGAUUGACGCUCAUGCACGAAAGCGUGGGGAGCAAACGGGGAUUAGAUACCCUGGUAGUCCACGCCCUAAACGAUGUCUACUAGUUGUCGGGUCUUAAUUGACUUGGUAACGCAGCUAACGCGUGAAGUGACCGCCUGGGGAGUCGGUCGCAAGAUUAAACUCAAAGGAUUGACGGNNGAGAGNGCGACGACGACGACGAGGGAGGAGG